ACGAAGGGUGCAAGCGUUGUUCGGAAUUACUGGGCGUAAAGCGCACGUAGGCGGCUUUGUAAGUUAGAGGUGAAAGCCCAGGGCUUAACCCUGGAAUUGCCUUUAAGACUGCAUCGCUAGAAUCGUGGAGAGGUGGGUGGAAUUCCUAGUGUAGAGGUGAAAUUCGUAGAUAUUAGGGAGAACACCGGUGGCGAAGGCGGCCCACUGGCUCGAUACUGACGCUGAGGUGCGAAAGCGUGGGGAGCAAACAGGA
rnacentral:rRNA from 1 species